CAAUAGCACCAGCAGCUUGGGGACAAGACAAUGGACGAACCUUCAGGGACCACUUUGCUGCAACUCACUUCAGACUGCAGUAAUGUUCAAAAGACAUUGAAGACAGAGCUUCCAGGUCGUCCCAGAACACUGAUGCUUGGGCUCUUCUAGCGUUGCCCUCCCGGCAGCAACAAGGCCAGCACCAUGGGACUUCUCGGGUGAUGGCCCCAACACAAUGCAGGUGUCAUCAGAGCUGUGACAGAAAGAGAUAAAAAUGUUCGAUGGCACCCCGGCACCAAGUGGUCAUUGCCGCGCUGUCUGUUCAGUGCCUGUCACAGGUUAUGCAGGAUGGCCAGUGGUGCCCUUGUUCUGUGGCAACUGCAGGUGGUGUGUGGAACUGUGUGAAGAGACAAAAAAUGAAGUCCAUGAUAGUGAGGGCAAAAUUUACUGAUGUACCAAGGUGUGGCUCAGCGACAGGCUGCAGAGUUCAGGUAAAUGGUAAAAAAUGUGUCAAAUUUUGCACAAAAAGCAGUGCCCUUCAUGGAUCAGUUAAGAGCCCAUUUUUAAGUUGAUCUGUUACAUAGAAAUAGAUUUAAAUGUGGCAUGAAUAUACAUGAUGUACUGGGUCUGCUGAAGAUAAAAAAAUUGGUUUAUCAAUUAGAUGAACCAUGAUCCCGGGGUAUUGAAUGGGGAACUUGGACUAUAUAAUUGCUCCAAUAAAUGGCCAAUUGAUCUGUAAUAGACAAUAGCAGCAUGAUGAAUGGUGGUAAGUCCCAUGACAAUUACACAUUAGGUAAAUCUAGAAUUUAGAUCAUCCCAACGGUGAAGAGAAUCAGGCUUGCUUGAGUGUUCCGGCUUUAACCCAGAAACGAUUGCAUUAUUACUAGUAACUGGCCUAAUAAAUUGUUUCAUUAAAAUCCUACAUAGAAUUGAUAAGGAAAGUAGCAAGUUUCAUAUUUUAUUUGGCAUUGGCCAAGCCUCACCUUGAUGUUUCAUUUCAGUGAGGGACGUUUUUAACUGAAUUUUGUCCGGGGUCACAACUGUACCCAGUCCCUUGGCGGGAAGGAGACGGAAAUGCAACACCCCUCAUUUUCUUCUCUGCAAGGGCUGUGAGGAAAAUUACCACAAUAUUUCAAUAAAAUUCAAAUGAUUUUGUA